UUUUUAUUAAAAAAAACUACUAGAUCUCCCACCCAAACACACUCGACAUCAAGCCCUGCGAAAUCUACUCUUUAUUCCGCAAGUUCCCUGGCUACGAAUCUUCUCAUCUCCGUAGCCCCUCCCAAAAUUCACAGGUUCCUUGCAUGAUAAAUAAAUAUCUUUUUCUGUUCAGUUGAUUUAUUCAGAUGUACUGUGAUUGUUGCAGCCAUUUGCUUUUGCUACGUUUGCAGACCAGCCGUCCGCCGUUGCAGCCAUGCAUGCACUGAAUGCAAGAACAUCUUGCCCUGAUCCUGUAAAAUGCCCUGCAUUGUUGUAGAGUUAGUUUUACAUGAAACUUAAGUUCUGUCCCAGCUAACAGUAUAUAUUGCUGCUGUGGUUUGAGGCAAUGCUAAUUUCAUUUUUCAAUUUGAAGUCUGAGAAAAAUUCUUAUACUGAAAUGGCUGGUAUCCAGUUAGUGGUGAGGGCGCCCUCACUGGGUUGUUUUUAUGCAUCAGGGUCAUAUUUAGAUUAAUUGCAAUGCUGUGUGUGUUAGAAAUGCCACCAAUAACUGAAAACUCUUGGCUCUGAACCUUUGUUGCGGGGGAUGGUUUUCGAUCUUGAAAGGGGAUCAACCCUCUACAUUGAUCUUGCAAAAUCUAAUGCCAGAUCUUGCAAAAUCUAAUGCCUGCAUUAAAUUUCCAUGUAACUUGACUUUUCUUCUUAUUUCAACACUCGAAAUCUUAUAUGUAUAUCACUUGAUUUUGAGGAUCAGCGAUGAAUGGUCCGGUUUGGAUAAGAAGGCUGGAGGGCCCUCUGGAUUCUUGAUGGCUCUCCUGAUUCAGCAGGUUUUGGCAGCGUUCACUUGCCUGGAAUGACUAUUUCUGCUUCAACACGAUUGGUAUUCCCAUCUGCACAAAGGUCAUUUGCACUUCUUGAGCACAUCUUUAUGAUAGAGCUACAAAUGAGUCAAAAGCUGGAAAACUGAAUAAUUCUUCAGCACCCCCAUGGCCAACACUCUUUGUGGCUAAUCUGGGGCAAAAUUGUACAGAGCAAGAGCUAAUUCAAGUAUUCUCAAGGCCAGGAAGCAUUACUCAUUCCAGGUUUGGCUUCAAGGUAACGAACGAAUAGUCUCGUUAUUCAUGCUUCUCGUAAUGAAAUCGCGCUCUAUCUUGCUUAGGUUUUGGAUUGUUCGCUUCCUCCUUGGCAUUUGAACAAGCAAUAUCUUUAGUUUGCUCUACUUCUGAAAUUGAUUUCACAGUUUGUCCCGCGGAAGCUUAAAUUUGUUGGGAAUAUCAAUAUACUGUUUUAUUUUGUCUUGGAUAUAUAAAUUUUAUUUUCUUGAAAGUAAAUCAUAAAAACAACUAAUAAAAUAUCAGUUUUACUAUA